CCUACGGGAGGCAGCAGUGGGGAAUAUUGCACAAUGGGGGAAACCCUGAUGCAGCGACGCCGCGUGAGUGAAGAAGUAUUUCGGUACGUAAAGCUCUAUCAGCAGGGAAGAAAAUGACGGUACCUGACUAAGAAGCCCCGGCUAACUACGGGCCAGCAGCCGCGGUAAUACGUAGGGGGCAAGCGUUAUCCGGAUUUACUGGGGGUAAAGGGAGCGUAGACGGCAGCGCAAGUCUGGAGUGAAAUCCCAUGGCUUAACCAUGGAACUGCUUUGGAAACUGUGCAGCUAGAGUGCAGGAGAGGUAAGCGGAAUUCCUAGUGUAGCGGUGAAAUGCGUAGAUAUUAGGAGGAACACCAGUGGCGAAGGCGGCUUACUGGACUGUAACUGACGUUGAGGCUCGAAAGCGUGGGGAGCAAACAGGAUUAGAUACCCCAGUAGUC
rnacentral:rRNA from 1 species